ensembl:lncRNA
CGAGUCCUUCCUGCUGUCCUGCAGUACUCCAGGUCCUGCAGUGCCCCUUGGCUUUGCAGAAGGAGAAAGGACAGAUCUUUGGUGUGAGGUUUUAAUAGCUGUUGGGGCAAUAGAUGUUUUAGAGACUGUGAUUUUGUAUCUGGCAUCCUCUUCUGUGGUCUCAAACCAAGAAAUGGCAAAGCAUGGAGCUGGAAGGAUGAAGCGAAGACUUGUCACAGCGAAUCUGGAAAUGCGGAGGACACAAAGACUGUCCUCAUCUGGAAGACCUCCAGUGCAGGAAGAGCACCUACUGGGGGACAACCACAUACCAGGGACACCUCAGCACGACUCCUGUGACAACACCAGGAGGCAGCAGGGACCAGCAGCACUGAUCCACAGGUGAUGCUGCUAAGAGUACUUCAUACACAGAUAUGGUCUGCAUUCCUUUGGAAGAUGCCCUCCCACAGGCCCUCUCUCACAGAGCCACACUAAAAAUAGAGCUGAGUGCUUCCUGAUGGCACCGCUGUGUUUCUCUGGAAAGGCAGGUGUUGUUUCUCUGGAAAGGUAGGUGAAGCUGACAACGUUCAACACACUUAAAUUUGCCUGAUAAUGUUGUUAUUUAUCCAUAGAUCAUAGAAUGGCCUGGGUUGAAAAGGACCACAAUGAUCAUAGAGUUUCAACCCCCUGCUAUGUGCAGGGUCGCCAACCACCAGACCAGGCUGCCCAGAGCCACAUCCAGCCUGGGAAUCCAUAGAUUUCAAACCGAGUGAUGAUUUCACAAAAAGACAAGGCACAGUCCUAUUUUUCUUCCCUUACAUGUGAAAAAUGUGCAUGUGGUUUGCAUAAUCAAAAUGCAUUUUCUCUCUGUCCACUGCAAGGUGAGGUGGAGGCUCCUCCAUCAUCCAGCUGCUCACUCAGCA